rnacentral:rRNA from 1 species
UGGGGAAUUUUGGACAAUGGGCGCAAGCCUGAUCCAGCAAUGCCGCGUGCAGGAAGAAGGCCUUCGGGUUGUAAACUGCUUUUGUCAGGGAAGAAAUCUUCUGGGCUAAUACCCCGGGAGGAUGACGGUACCUGAAGAAUAAGCACCGGCUAACUACGUGCCAGCAGCCGCGGUAAUACGUAGGGUGCGAGCGUUAAUCGGAAUUACUGGGCGUAAAGCGUGCGCAGGCGGUUAUGUAAGACAGAUGUGAAAUCCCCGGGCUCAACCUGGGAACUGCAUUUGUGACUGCAUGACUGGAGUGCGGCAGAGGGGGAUGGAAUUCCGCGUGUAGCAGUGAAAUGCGUAGAUAUGCGGAGGAACACCGAUGGCGAAGGCAAUCCCCUGGGCCUGCACUGACGCUCAUGCACGAAAGCGUGGGGAGCAAACAGGAUUAGAUACCCUGGUAGUCCACGCCCUAAACGAUGUCAACUGGUUGUUGGACGGCUUGCUGUUCAGUAACGAAGCUAACGCGUGAAGUUGACCGCCUGGGGAGUACGGCCGCAAGGUUGAAACUUAAAUGAAUUGACGGGGUCAUAGCUGUUUCCU